rnacentral:tRNA from 1 species
GUUAAAAUAGCAAAGUGGAAAUGCAAAAGACCUAAGCUCUUUUAUCAGAGGUUCAAUUCCUUUUUUUAACU